UGGCUGAUUUUGUUUAUUUGUUUUGUAGAUUAUAGGUAUCAUAACUCUAGAGGAUGUGAUUGAAGAGCUCAUUCAGGAGGAGAUAAUAGACGAGACAGAUGUUUAUGUAGACAUUCAUAAACGGAUACAGGUAGCACGGGCACAGAAAGCUCGACGGGACCGGAUUGUGCAUAGUCGCCAGGUCUCAGUGGAUAACCAGGGGGCUGUCGCCGGGGUCGCCACUGACCCUCAGGUAUUGAUGGAAUCUCUAGAUCUUUCAAUGAUGAAGAGCCGAUCCAAUCCAAUCAUGAGGAAUGAUCGGGAAAAAGAUAUCCUUGAUCGCCAAACAUCAUACUCAAUGCCAGCUGCAGAAAGUAACAUUAACACAGACACAGAACCCCUUCUGGGGCCCCCAGUAGUAUAUACCUAGGACAACAGAUAUCAUCAACACGGACACAGAACCCCUUCUGGGGCCCCCAGUAGUAUAUACCUAAACAACGGAUAUCAUCAACACGGACACAGAACCCCUUCUGGGACCCCCAGUAGUAUAUACCUAGGACAACAGAUAUCAUCAACACGGACACAGAACCCCUUCUUGGGCCCCCAGUAGUAUAUACCUAGAACAACGGAUAUCAUCAACACGGACACAGAACCCCUUCUGGGGCCCCAGUAGUAUAUACAAAGAACAACAGACAUCAUGAUCAGUGACACAGAACCCCUUCUGGGGCCCCAAGUGGUCUUUACCUUGGUAAAGGGACAUCAUCAACACUGCUGUAAAAUCCCUUCUGGAGCCCCAUUUAGUUUAUACCUAGGACAAGGGAUAACCUCAACAGUGACAAUUAAUGAACCCUUUUGGGGCACCCAGAAGUAUAAAACAUGUGUCUAGGAUAUUGGCAGUCAGGUUAUGCUCAAUAUAUGCAACAAAAAAAAGUUUAGUAAAACAUUUUCUGUAUCAUCUGAAAAUAGUAUCAACAGUUUUUGAAAACUGUAUACCUUAAAAAUGGUCAGAGAAUGAUUAGAUUUUAUCAUUCAAUCACACAUACUAGCUGCCAUGUGGUAAUUAUGUGAAGAAUUAUUUGUCUUUUGAAUAGUUCCUAUAUAUGUCAGAUUAGAAUUGGAUUGUGGUGCUAGAGAAAUCAUUUGUAGUAACUUUAGCCUGGAUCCACAUAUGCUCCUUGUGAAGUUUUAGUCAUGAUCUAUUUUUCUUUGGGUCUGAUCCUUACAAAACAAACAGUAAAUGGAGACAGAUAUAGUCCUUGAAUGUCACACUAAUUUGGCAGUGGGAUGGGAAUUUUCAUCCUUUUACUUUUUAUUUUCACCUUCUGAGCAUAUAAAUAUAAAAUCCUGAAUCUUCCCAAUGAUAGCAUGCCAUACUAUAGUUUUCAUGGUAUUUGUUCUGUGUAAUUUUUUAAAUCAACACAGUGAUUUGAAUAGUUUCAAACAAAUGUCGUGAUUAGAAAGUGGAUUGUAUUGUUAUGAUGAUGACAUAUUUAUACUAUGUAUAUUUUGAUAUUUUUCUCAAAGAUGGAUGAUAGGAAAUUUUAAGGAAAUACACUUGUUGGUUUUUAUGCCUGGACAGUAACCUUUCAACAAUUUUAGGCUAGCUAGGGGAAUGUUGUAAUUUUCUUUCAGGCAAGUAUUUAACUGUGAAAUGAUCACUGGUUGAAGAGCUAUGUUUUAUCAUGCAGACAUUUAUACCCUGCUUUUGAUACCAUUUUUGAGGGGUGGUGGUGGUUUGGUGGGAUGGGAUGGGGAUUUUAUGUUCCAGAAUGCAUGUGUAUGUUACAAGUAAGUUGGUAAUUCUUUCUGGUACAUUUAUAUUAGCCAGGAGGGUUUUCCUCAUUUGUUUUGUAGCAAUUAAGUUAUUAUAGUGUACUGCUGCGGUCUCAAUUUUUUCUUUUAUUAUUUGGUUACUUGACCCCAUUAGGGUCACGAUAUCCUGAGACAAAUAAUAUAUUAUGUAAGUUUAUUUUUGUAUUGUUUUAUGCAUUGUUAGAAUAAGAGUUUUUGUUUACAGAUGGCAUGCAAUUCAGACCAAUAAUAACAAUUUAAGUUUUAUUUUGAUCUAAAACAGUGAUUAGAUAUCAAUUCACAAGAAAACAUACAGGAAGUUUAAUGUAUAGUACAAUCUAGUAACUACUUUAUUCUUACAAUGUAUAAUUCUACUACUGCUACAAUACUAUAGGACAUAUCACCAGUCACUGGUAACAUCGCGGCCGAUUCCAUCUAGACUUUAAUCAAACCUUGAACUGCUACAUUUCCUUAGACGGAAAACACAAUUUCCCAGGUACUAAUAUUUGCGUUUUCUCAUGCAAUCAGUUUAGCAGAUUUAAAUACAUUCUUGUAUGUGCUUAAUCAUAAUUAUCAUGAAAGAAUGUUAAAAUUAUGUCUAUACCCUGGGGCUUUAAUCAGAAACCGCAUUACCUGUCACUCUAGUAGACACAGUACCUUAAAGUGUUUUUAGAUACGAGACUCUAUAUACAUACACAUAGUUGAAAUUUCUUUCUUGUGGAGUGUCCGUGGAAGCUGUUUCAUUGAUGCACUUUUGAUUUACUUUACUGCACAGAAAUAUGUAUCAAAUGACGUGACAUACCUUUCAUACCUUUGAGGUUUGAUACAGAGUCUUGACAGAAUAUUGGCCGAGAUGUUAUGGUUGAUCUGUAGCCUUGCUCAUGACCCAAGAUUUCGAUAGACUAGCUUGGAGUCAAUGAGUAAGGAAAUUUAAACAUCUGUGCUCCACAAUUUACAACUCAGGACUGACAUAACCUAAUCUCAACAGGUUAUAGUGGUUUUCUCUGGUUUUCAUAUCCAUAUUAAGUAUAAAUGACCAAUCUUAUCUUUGUAGUUUUUAUGUGCACAUCUUAUUCUUCAGUCUGUGAUAAAGAUAUUUUUGUUUUUCUUUAUAAAUAUCUAUAAUUGUUGUAGUAGUUUUGCUUGUAUACUUUAGCAUGCUUUCAUCAUGUACGUAUUUCUCUCAGUUUUUUAAGAAAAAAAAAAUUGUAUUGAUGCAUAUACACAUGAAAUGUCUUGAUACAGUAAAGGUGUUAGUACCGAAAUGGCAACUCCAGCUGUGUGCUCCUAUGGGAGUUGAGAAAGACAUUGGCUAUAACCAUGGAUAAUUAUUUGUGAACCACUUUGAGACGGCUAUGUUGCUGUGAUACAGUGGUAUAUUUCAUUUCAACAAAUUUUAUUGCAAUAAAUUAAAACAAAUGGAUUGGACAACAGGCAAGCCUAUAUCAGUCCUCUCCAUAUAUAACACUCGUAAUUAUCAUUAUUAUUAUGUACUUUGGAUAUGCUGGUCAUGUAUACAUUGUAUGUUGUGUUCCAAAUACUGGGGAUGAUGGUUCAUGGGAUCAAAAAUUUAUAAAAAUUUGAUACAUUUUGUAUUUGUUUACUAUUCUUAUUGUUAAUUGAAUUUCCAUACUUUUAUUAAUAUCAUAUAUUAUCUUAUGCAUAAAGCUGAAAAAGAAGAAUGAGAAGCUGAGAGUCUGAUUUAACGUGAAGUUCUGUUAUAGAUGUCGCGAUAAUAAUGGCUCAGUAAGAUGGAAAGCUGGACAUAUUUCAAACAUAGAUAGUUAAUAGUAUACAGUACUUGUCAAAGUUGUAACAAGUUGAUCUUUUAAUUUGUUUCAAGAAUACAGCUAUAGGAUACCUAAUAGCUUAUCACUGCCAUCAGAAUGUGUAACCUCUCUUUAAUAUAUAUAAACCACAUUUGGUUGUCCUUGUUUAUUUGGAAGUGAGCUCGCGGAUAUGUCUGGUAAUAAGCCCACCCCUUUCUAAUGUGGGCCAUUGGAAACGCCACUAAAUGCCAUUUCAUUGCCCAGUAAUUAUAUAUAAUAUGACACACACACCAGGUACAUUUUUGUAUCUCUACCUUUCAGUUAAAUUGAAGAUUGUGUGUUUGCCCCGGGGACUCGAUAUAAGGAUAAAUGCGGUAUAUUUCCCAACUCUAUCAAUUGUAGCAUGGGAUCAGUGAAUUCUAGCUGUAUAUAGUACUAGUUUUGUACUCUAUAAAGUUUGCCAUAUUGGCAGAUGAUCAAAAUUAGCCAACAUUAAAAGCAUAAAAUUUCCCUUUGUACCAGGAGAAGGGGUAUUUUGUAUAUAAUAUCCACUUUUCCUGUCAGAGGAAGAUCAAUAUUUCACAUGUAUGUAUUUAGCCAGACUAAAUGUAUCCAGCAUCUCAUAUGAAUUGAGAACUCAUUUAAAAUGCUGUAAAUGUAAAUAGAAUCUAACACUCAAUCCCAUGUCGUAUUGAAUUUAUUUUGUAGAUUAAUUUGAUAUAUAACAUAAAAGCUUGAAACUCAAUAUAACAUGGACACUUCUUCAAGGUCAUCUCUAUUAUAGAUGACAAUUGCAUUUUAGCUACAAGAACAAAUUUCAUGAAUCAGGGAUCAAUAUGUGUUCCAUUUACAUGUAUGCUAAAAAUUGUAUACUUACAAAUUUAUCUAGAAUGGCACUGCCUUCAUCCAUUUUUGGAAUAUUUAAAUAUUUUCAUUAAAUAACUUUUCUUCUUGCAUCGUUAGUGGUUGAAUGAUUAAUACAUGUAUUGAAUGUAUACUGUUUGUCUGAUGAACUGUUGUAAGUUAUUAUUGAAAGAUACACAAUGCAAAUAUCCAGUACCAUUGUUCUAUACAAAGGAACAUUUGUACUUGUACAUGAAAUAACAUGUUUACCGAUUUACCAAACCCAUGAAUGCACUGUUAGCUUCAAAUAAGCACCUCAAUGUCAGGAACAAAUUUUCUGAUGCAUCUCGAACAUUCCGGAAACUUUAAGAUGUUUGAAUUUCUUAUAAGUAUAUAUAUAUACUCUAAUUUACUUCUAUUGCUUCUAACAAGCUGGAUUCUUUCACACCUUCUAGAAAUAUAUAUAUAUAAUGCUGCUGAUCACAUGUGCCAAACUUAAAUUAAACUUCACAAAAUUAUAAGAUUGAGACUGAAAAUGUAAAAAAAUAAAUAAAUGAAAUAAUAAUAAUUUGCCCCCAGUCUCACUAGAGGCAUUGACUAUUAUACAUGUACUUGUAGCAUUUCUAGGUCUGGGGAUGGUAAAUGUGCAGGAUCAAGGUGUGUUACAUUGUAUUCGUAAUCAAAGUGUGGACAAGCUGUUAAUAUUUAGAGUGUAUAUCAGCUCUAGAUUGCACAAUAUAAGUUUUUCCUCACGUGUUUGUGUGUACAUGUAUUUGUGUAUGGACAUCUUCGCUAGCCAAGGCUUCUGAUUACAUUUCACUCCACGUAAUCGGAAGCCUUGGCUAGCGAAGAUGAUAUAUUGAUUGACCAACAAUUUCUUAUGAUCUCCAAAAUAUCUUCUUAAAUGGUGUACCGGUAUCUUAAUAUAAAUGUAUCCUUUUACACUACGAAUAUAUACUAAACCACUUACAAUGCUUUAGUUCUAACAUCUAGUCACAGUCACUGUUGGGUGACAUUUAGAGGUAUAUUGAAAUAGUGUGUUCAUUGUCACAGGCACUAGUGUCAUCUACUAGCCCGCCGAACAUUGUAUGGAUGGGCCUUAUUGGGUAUCGGGGAGGGCACUCGGAUAUUUAAUUUAAUAUACUCUAGUGCCCUCCUCCAUACCCAAUAAGACCUUUCCAUAUAUUGAACAGUGUGUCUGUGUCGCUGCUCUGUUUCAUGGUUUGAACACAUUAAUCAGUGUUUUUCAAGCAUUUUUUACUCUCCAUGAAUUAAAAUUGGACAGCAAGUGAUAAAGUGUUGGGACACCUUAACCACUCGGCCCCUUCUUCCAUCUGGGCCAACAAGAGUGAUUUAUAUAAGUUGGUAAACUUGUUUCGCAAUUGUUGUAAAAUAAAUAAAGUUUAAAAAGUAAAUUCAAGGACUAAUAUGUUAGAGUUCUUUGGCUUCAUUUCUACAUACUUUUUAUAGAGAAAUUCAAUAUUCAACGACCUUCAAAUAUAUAGGUCUGUAUGAACCAUGCAUUAUUAUUAAUUAUGGGCAUGUAGGCAAAGAAGCUUGUGGUCGUGUACAAGAUGAAGCAAUACUUUUUAUCAGUUGUAGCCAGUAGAAUAUGUAUAUUGAA